ensembl:lncRNA
ACACACACACACACACACACACACACACACACACACACACACACACACACACACACACACACACACACACACACACACGCACUAACACAUGCACGCACGCACUCUUCUGCUGCUUCCUCAUAGAGUCAUGUAUUUUUCAUAGGUUUUGUUAUAGAAGUCCUCCAACGUGUGUGCAUGUGAGUGAUUUAACUUAUGUAUGCAUCUUAUCACACAUCGCUGGACUACCCAGUUCAGAUUUUGCAAUUAGGUAUUUGUUUUUUUCUUGCACUCUUUUUCUUCUUUUUAGCCUUCUCUCUAUACCUUCAACUUUAAUUUCCAUUUUCCUUUCCUUCUUUUCGAAAAUUUCACAAAAACCCCUCUUAUCAUAAAAUAAACCCAGAGUCUCCUAAUUUCAAUUUGGCUAAAACCGCCCCCUACGUCACCAGGUUUUGUUUUUUCGUUCUGCUUUGACUACAACUCCCACAAUGCAUCGGGGGUGGUGCCUCGCCGUGCUUCUGGCUCUCCGGCUGCAGCGUACCACUACGAUCAGGCAACCAGCAGCAGCGAGCAACGCUUUCUCUCUCCCCCCCGACCUAAACAAUGACUACUACCAGCACCACUGAGCGGAGGUCGGGGAUCCAGUAGCAUGCGUAAAACACGGCACCAAAUCUCUCCAUUUCGCCGCUUUUCCAAACCGUUGACUUUAACGCGCCAGCUGUAAACAUGUGGAUACCCACUGAACACGAGAAAUACGGCGUCGGUAAGUUUAUGAUGGGGCUUUAUUUGUGUUUCAUCCACACUGAUGUCCUUUGCUGUUAUCCCUUAAGCUGUGGUGGGGAUGCGAUUGCGGGGGGUUCGUGUGUGUUGUGGAUCUACUCAUCUCCGACCUGAUUGGUUGUACGGAUUAAAAUAGUUCCUGUAAUAAAGGAUUUGAUACAGAAUUAGGAGAAGAGAGGCGUUAUCUGCUUUUUUUAAUUAUUAUUUUUAUUUUGACAAACAGUCCAUGAUGGGAUGCCUAGCCUGUGUUUCAUCUCUGUGCCACAUCGCAGCGUUAGGUUAUCGCUCUCGGACCCCCUGUGGAUUACGGAACGAAUGCGUUUUGAUUUCCCACCCCCAUUAACCGGUCUCUUUCAUUCCCCACACCGGUUCAUCUGUCCUCUCCUGCUCGCUCUGGAUUGAUAAUAUUCCUCAGUUCUAGGCUGCCCUUUUUAAAACGAGACAGACAGACAGACAGACAGACAGACAGACAGACAGACAGACAGACAGACAGACAGACACUUGCAGCUGAAGUGUAUCUUGCCAUCUUGCACGAUCCUCAUUUAUUUAUGCCCUGAUCCCGGAUGAAACAACAACCUCCUAUAAUUGAAAUGUGAAGGGCUUUUAAAACAUGUCCGGGUUGCAUCUCUGCUUUGCACGUUUUUUCUGAUGACGUCCCCUCACUGUCUCUGUCGCUGUCUCUGUCUCUUUCUCUGUCCCUCCCAUUUUCACUCUGUCUAUAUCUCUCUCUCUCUCUGUCUCUCUGUCUCUCUGUCUCUCUCUCUCUGUCUGUCUGUCUGUCUGUCUGUCUGUCUGUCUGUCUGUCUGUCUGUCUGUCUGUCUGUCUGUCUGUCUGUCUGUCUGUCUGUCUGUCUGUGUCAAUCAUCUGCUUUGCUUUGUUCUUUUUUCUGCCUUCUUCUUCUUUUCAAUGGGAAAAACACACAAUUAUUUUACUGUUUUUGGCCAGCUUCCUUUUUCUCCUUCUGCCCCCCCUCCCCAUUUUGUACAGUGUUUCUCUCAGAGAGAACUGUAUGAGACUAGCGUCUGGAUCACAUACACCUCCCAUAGGUUUAUUGUUCCUCCUUCCUCUGCCUUUUUCCUUCUUCAUGCCCCCUCUUUAUUUUCCUCCUCUGUCUGCUUCGGUUAGGUCCCUCUUCUCUGGGUAGCUGCCAUCCCCCCCAAUCUCUCCCUCUCUCCCCUCUUCUCUUGUUUCCCCCUACCUCUCUCUCUCUCGCUCUCCAUUUCCCCUCCUCAACCCCCACUCUGCUCUCUCCCCCUCCCUCUUUCCACUGCACUCAAAUACACCUGUCCCAAAUUUCCCCCAGGUACUUUAGGAGUACGUGUGUUCUUCAGUGUGUGUGUGUGUGUGUGUGUGUGUGUGUGUGUGUGUGGGCGUGCCCGAGUGUAUGUGCUUGUUUAUUUGGCAGCAUCAGCCUCACUGGAGAAGCAGUUUAGUGGGAUAGCGCUUUACUGAUGCCCACCAAGUCCAGUCCAGAUGGAUAUAUAUGUCACUAAUAUAUUUAACAUGUCUCUUUAUGUUAUCAUUCUGUCUUCCUGCUUUAAGGGUGUUUUGGAAGCAUAGCAGGGGUUAAUUCGACCACUCUAUUGUCCCUAUUUGCCUCCAUUAAGGUGUGUUAUGUAGGACGACCGCGGAUUAUAUUCAAAUGCCACUCACUCUCACUGCUGGCCCUCCACACACCUAAUACCGCAUUGAUUGGCUUUCAAGAGCCCUUUCUAUUCACAUCCUUUCCUCUGAAUGUUGACAUUUAAACCAACUCUAAAUACCAUCUUGAAACAAUGUCUUUUUCCUAUUUGUACCUCUUCAUCUCUCUUCAUCUCUCUCUCGCUCUCUCUCUCUCUCUCUCUCUCUCUCUCUCUCUCUCUCUCUCUCUCUCUCUCUCUCUCUCUCUCUCUCUCUCUCUCUCUCUGUCUGU